rnacentral:rRNA from 1 species
UACGUAGGGCGCAAGCGUUGUCCGGAAUUAUUGGGCGUAAAGAGCUCGUAGGCGGCUUGUCACGUCGGGUGUGAAAGCCCCGGGGGCUUAACCCCGGGUCUGCAUUCGAUACGGGCAGGCUAGAGUGUGGUAGGGGAGAUCGAAUUCCUGGUGUAGCGGUGAAAUGCGCAGAUAUCAGGAGGAACACCGGUGGCGAAGGCGGAUCUCUGGGCCAUUACUGACGCUGAGGAGCGAAAGCGUGGGGAGCGAACAGG